AGACAAGAAAAAUCUCAGGCUGGUGACAUCUGAACCACAUUCUGUGGGAUGGUUGCUAGACUUUUAGAUUUUGCAAAAUGAAGGAGGUAAGUUCCAGGCAGAGGCUACAGCUUGAGCACAGGAUGGAGCUUUGGAACCAUAGGGUCUACUCAGGGGAAAGAUCUUAGCAGGGAGUAAAUGUGGACGCAGAACUUGGUCUUUAUAGUGUUGGGAAAAUAUGGGUAGGUUUAUUCCAGGCUGUGGUCAAAUCUGUACUUUAUUGAAAUAAUUCUGAUAGUCACCAGGGAGGCUGGAUGACAAGGCACAGAAAAGGGAACAGGAUGCUGGGUUAGGGGCCUUGCAACUUCUGGGAGAACAUGACAAAAACAUCCCUAGGGCAGGGGAAGUGAGGUUGAUGACUCAAGCACAUACUUAGAGAAUUUGUCAAUCUUUCUCAUAUUUGGUUGUCCAUUAAACCACCUGGGGAGCUUUAAGCCACUCUGAUACCCAGAACACAGAUCAGAACAAUUACGUUAGUAUUUCUGAGGACAGAGCAGGACAUC
rnacentral:lncRNA from 1 species